rnacentral:lncRNA from 1 species
GUUUUAUGACAAUCAAUAUGUGACACUUUAAUAAACAAAUUUAUUUAAUACAUUUUUCAAACCGAGCUUGGACAGAGAACAACAAAACGACAUACAUAGCACAGGGGGACUAUAUAUAAGCUAGUAUGCCGCUUGAUAUAAAUGUAAUUAACAUUAAAUAACCAUGUACGAUUUAAUAACAGUGAGUAAGGGCGACAUAAUGCUAAAACUUUUUAAAAGACAGAACUAUACGAAAAUUUAGGAUAUGCGAUGACCAAGCAUUCACAGAUGUUUAAAAAAAUUGAAGAUACAUUAAAAGAGGGACGAAAGAUAGUCAAACUCAUAAAUCGAAAAUAAACUGACAACGCCAUGGCUAAAAAUGAAAGAGAUAAACGGACAAACAAUAGUACACAUGACUCAACAUAGAAAACUCAAGAAUAAACAACACGAACCCCGCCAAAAACUAGGGGUGAUCUCAGGUAUUCCGGAAGGGUAAGCAGAUCUUGCUCCACAUGUGGCAUCCGUCGUGUUGUUUAUGUGAUAACAAAUCCGGUAAAAGGUCUAAUUCGGUAGGUCACAUUCACGAAAGGGAAGGGGA